CACGGGGGGAGCAAGCGUUGUUCGGAAUCACUGGGCGUAAAGGGAGUCUAGGCGGUCAGGUAAGUGAGAUGUGAAAUCCCUCGGCUUACCCGAGGACCUGCAUUUCAUACUGCUUGGCUUGAGUACGGGAGAGGAUGUGGGAAUUCCUGGUGUAGCGGUGAAAUGCGUAGAUAUCAGGAGGAACACCGGUGGCGAAAGCGCACAUCUGGCCCGAUACUGACGCUGAAGCUCGAAAGCUAGGGGAGCAAACGGG
rnacentral:rRNA from 1 species